AUGUGGAAAUUGAUGGUUUUCGCCCAUACUGGCAUGAAACUUUCUCUUUUAUUGAGCUCAAAAACAGGCAGAGGGAGAUCAGAAAAAGUGUCAAAUCCAAUAGAACAGAGAACGAUGGCCCAAACAGAACAGCUUACUUCCUCUAUCCGAGUUGGCAAUCAAUAUCAAGAUCAGAGCGCGAGAGCAAUGAAACAACAAGUCCACCGUCCCUUCACCAGCCAAAGAAAGGAGAAGACUAAGCAGCUCAAUAGGGUCUCGAGUACGACUAUAGUACCAAAGCUUGGUGCUUCUACCAGUCAAGCAAUUACCACGGGUGGAUAUUCAAUAGAAAGCCUACUUGAGUAG
rnacentral:rRNA from 1 species